CAGGUAAAAUUCUCCCUUAAAUAGGAUUCUCAUUAUUGUUCUUUUAGGAUCCGAGAGUUAUUUUAUUUGGGUAUCGAAUUGUGAUUGUCACAUUGUCACAGAUCAGCAGUGACUUGUGCAUAAUGAAUUACUGUUCUUUCUUACAGGUUGCAAGUAAACCUCUAAUGAUUGUAGGGUCUAAUUAGCAACAGUGUCAACUCUUUUAACUAGAAAUAAUUGAUUAAAAACUUUCACUGUGAGAGCUCCACCCAUUCCUAAGAAACACCCAAUUUAAAAAAAGCACUGGAGCUCACGUGUCACUGGAUGAGAAAAGAAACUCUGUGUCACAGCAUGUAAUUCUGAACUAUAUGAUUUUCCUAAAGGUCUUGGACUUCAGGUGAAAAAAAGAAAAGUGUCUGUGGGGCUCAAGUUUGAGUUGAAACCAGGCUCAGGGUCCACCUGUCCUCGCUGAUCCGUGGAUUUCUGUGUGACCAGCUGACACCUAUGGAGCUGUGGCCCUGACUACUACCACUUUGGGACACAACCUGAAGACCCUCACAGUCACCUUCCCCAUCUCCACCCUCCAGUAUUCAUCAGACAGGAGCAAUGGCUCAGCCACGUUCCACUCCACUGAGAGGGUCCUGCAGAGCCUGGCCUGUGAAGGAUGGGGCAGCCACCUGUGUGGACGCUGUCUGCACCCACCACCGUGACCCCGUGGGCCACCAUGCCUCUGUGCUGGGAGCUGAGAGUCUCCACGUGUCUGCUCUUCCUCUCGGUGGCUCCAGGCUCUGCACCCUGGAGUUUAUGCAUGCAGAGAGAGCACCAGCUACAUUUCCGCAGCAUCAGCUGGAACCACAGCAACCCGGAGCCCACAUCCUCGGAGUACACCGCCCUGCUGAGGGUCA